rnacentral:rRNA from 1 species
UCCAGAAGCUCUUUGGAUACGGUGCAGAUACCUUUGCCUUGAUCAUGCAGUAUUAUUUUCCGCCGGUACAGAGCGGAGAAACCAUCACGAUUUAUGACAGCGCUCACAACGAGUACCUUCACUAUCUGAUCACGAUCGGACUCUUUGGAACGGGUUCUUAUAUUGCGUUUAUGCUGGCCUCAGUCGCGGCGAUGGCAAGAAAAAUGAAAGAGCAGCCGGAAGUUAUGGCGAUUAUGAUCGCUGUUCUUGCAUAUAUGAUUCAGGCGGUUGUUAAUAUCAACCUCCCGAUCGCGACACCGAUUAUGUGGGCUAUGCUGGCGAUUGGGCUUGCACUCACAAGAGAGAAAGCAGAACAGGCAGAAUAGCUCAAAUAGACAGAACGGAUUAAAUAGACAGCAAAUCCGAGCAGAUUCGGCGGAAAAGCCGAAAUGACGAACUUUGUCGAUUUAGAAUUUAAAGUAAUGUGUGCACAGUAACCCGUGUCGAAAUUUGCGAUCGAUAGACUCUUUUAUUUUUCUUAAAAUCGGUUUAUAAAUAAUAUGAAAAGAAAAAACGAUAUGAUCGCCUGGCAGAGCUGCGUUAUGCAGUGUGGUCAUCUGAAUGGAAGAACAGGCAGUCAAAAGGAGGAGAGUUUAUGGAUGAAGCUAAAAAAUUGGUCGUUUUAGAGCAGGAAAAUGAAGAAUUAAAGCGUGAGCUGAGGGAGUUAUUUAAAACUCUGGAUCAGAUGAAUCAAAGCUUAAACCGGAUGAUUGACCACUACAUACUCUGUAAGACGGAGAAGGCGGGAUAAGCGGAGAGCCUGGAUAAGAUGGAAAAGAAGAGGCUCAUUUAUACCAGAUGGAGCAGGUGAAAAAUCAAAUCAAAAAUUAAAUAGUAGAUCGAAUAUUAGUAGAGAAGCGUGUGAGCCAGCUGCCAAGAAAAGCCGCUAUUGUUUCAUAAGUACCCGUACCGUAAACCGACACAGGUGGAUGAGGAGAGAAUCCUAAGGCCGGCGGGAGAAGUGUUGUUAAGGAACUCGGCAAAAUGACUCCGUAACUUCGGGAGAAGGAGUGCCACAGAGAUGUGGCCGCAGAGAAAUGGCCCAAGCAACUGUUUAGCAAAAACACAGGUCUAUGCAAAACCGAAAGGUGAGGUAUAUGGGCUGACGCCUGCCCGGUGCUGGAAGGUUAAGAGGAGAGGUUAGAGCAAUCGAAGCUUUGAAUUUAAGCCCCAGUAAACGGCGGCCGUAACUAUAACGGUCCUAAGGUAGCGAAAUUCCUUGUCGGGUAAGUUCCGACCCGCACGAAAGGCGUAAUGAUUUGAGCACUGUCUCGACAAUGCAUCCGGUGAAAUUGAAGUACCAGUGAAGAUGCUGGUUACCCGCGCCAGGACGGAAAGACCCCAUGGAGCUUUACUCCAGUUUGAUACUGGGAUUCGGUACUGCACGUACAGGAUAGGUGGGAGACUUUGAACUAUGGACGCCAGUCUGUAGGGAGUCGCUGUUGGGAUACCACCCCUGUAGUACUGGGUUUCUAACCAUCUGCCGUGACCCGGCAGUGGGACAAUGUCAGGCGGGGAGUUUGACUGGGGCGGUCGCCUCCGAAAGGGUAUCGGAGGCGCUCAAAGGUUCCCUCAGAAUGGUCGGAAACCAUUUGAAGAGUGCAAAGGCAGAAGGGAGCUUGACUGCGACACCGACGGGUGGAGCAGGUACGAAAGUAGGACUUAGUGAUCCGGUGGUAUAAAGUGGGAUUGCCAUCGCUCAACGGAUAAAAGCUACCCUGGGGAUAACAGGCUUAUCACUCCCAAGAGUUCACAUCGACGGAGUGGUUUGGCACCUCGAUGUCGGCUCAUCGCAUCCUGGGGCUGUAGCAGGUCCCAAGGGUUGGGCUGUUCGCCCAUUAAAGCGGUACGCGAGCUGGGUUCAGAACGUCGUGAGACAGUUCGGUCCCUAUCCGGCGUGGGCGUAGGAUAUUUGAGAGGAGCUGUCCUUAGUACGAGAGGACCGGGAUGGACGGACCGCUGGUGUAUCUGUUGUUGUACCAACAGCAUGGCAGAGUAGCCAAGUCCGGCAGGGAUAAACGCUGAAGGCAUCUAAGCGUGAAGCCCCCCUCAAGAUAAGAUAUCCCAUCAUAAGAGUAAGACCCCUUGAAGACUACAAGGUUGAUAGGCUUGGAGUGUAAUCGUGGCAACACGUUCAGCUGACAAGUACUAAUAGGUCGAGGGCUUAUCCU